UACGGGGGGUGCAAGCGUUAUCCGGAUUCACUGGGUUUAAAGGGUGCGUAGGUGGGCAGGUAAGUCAGUGGUGAAAUCUCCGGGCUUAACUCGGAAACUGCCAUUGAUACUAUCUGUCUUGAAUACCGUGGAGGUCAGCGGAAUAUGUCAUGUAGCGGUGAAAUGCUUAGAUAUGACAUAGAACACCAAUUGCGAAGGCAGCUGGCUACACGAAUAUUGACACUGAUGCACGAAAGCGUGGGGAGCGAACAGG
rnacentral:rRNA from 1 species